UACGUAGGUGGCAAGCGUUGUCCGGAAUUAUUGGGCGUAAAGGGUGCGUAGGCGGCUCCUUAAGUGAGAUGUGAAAUCCCCGGGCUUAACCUGGGAACUGCAUUUCAAACUGGGGGAGCUAGAGUGCAGGAGAGGAAAGUGGAAUUCCUAGUGUAGCGGUGAAAUGCGUAGAGAUUAGGAGGAACACCAGUGGCGAAGGCGACUUUCUGGACUGUAACUGACGCUGAGGCACGAAAGCGUGGGGAGCAAACAGG
rnacentral:rRNA from 1 species